AUCCAACUGCCGAGUCUCAAAUAGGACGAAACGAACGUCAAACUGGAC
rfam:Schistosoma margrebowiei strain Zambia genome assembly, scaffold: SMRZ_scaffold0000008